AAGACUAUAGACCUGCGGAGUACCUGCGGAGGGAUCAUUAACAAAUCUCUUUAUGGAGAAAAUCCAUAUAUACCAUGUGAAUUUCUUUGUAUUUGAAAAUAUAAAAGUUAUUUAUAUUUUUAAAACAAAUGAUAUUAAAUUUAUAAACUAUUUAUUUAAAAUGUCUUAUAAAAUAAUUUAAAAAUUAAUACAACUUUUAGCAACGGAUCUCU
rnacentral:misc_RNA from 1 species